AUAAAUAAUAAAGGCAUGUAGCAGACCAUAAAAGGACUCAUUCUUCAGAAAUAAGGAGACAAACAUAACACUUAUGGGACUUUAUUAGGCCGCUAGCUGUCUGCUAGGACAUUGUGGCAAUAUGGCUCGGAAAAAACUGUGUCUAAAGGAAGAGCUGAUAAAUCAAUUGUCCGGAUUGUCGGAAAGCGCUGAGAGAAGUGGCUCUGAUGUACAGUGAUGUACACAAAGUGAUGCUGAUCAGAGCCACCCUCAAUAACAAAACACUUUCAAAGGAGUCCAAGAUGUCUUUGUGCUACCCACCUCCUCCCCAUCAUUGCAUCUCAUCACCGUGGCUCCGUUCAAGCCUCCAUCUUUGUCUCCACCAACAGCGUCUAGACUCUGAGGGGUCCUGCUCUAAUCCCUGUGACCGUUGGGGUUCUGUUCCACCGAGACGGACCAUUGGAGUCUAACCGCCACAUACCUUUAUCUAAUGUCUGUACAUCAAUAAAUCAUGUUAAUUUCU